rnacentral:rRNA from 1 species
CCUUUUACAGAGGGAUAGCCCAGAGAAAUUUGGAUUAAUACCUCAUAGUAUAGUACACUCGCAUGAUUGAACUAUUAAAGUCACCACGGUAAAAGAUGAGCAUGCCUCCCAUUAGCUAGUUGGUAAGGUAACCGCUUACCAGGGCUACGAUGGGUAGGGGUCCUGAGAGGGAGAUCCCCCACACUGGUACUGAGACACAGACCAGACUCCCACGGGAGGCAGCAGAGAGGAAUAUUGGUCAAUGGGCGCACGUCUGAACCAGCUGUGCCGCGCGUAAGAUGACCGUCCUAUGGAUUGAACACCGCUUGUGUACGGGAAGAAACCCUCCUACGUGUAGGAGCUUGACGGC